GCCGGGAUCGUAUAAUGGUAGUACAGGUCCGUCGUAACGAUCUUGUGGGGGUUCGAUUCCCUCUCUCGGCACCA
rnacentral:tRNA from 2 species